GCAUCAAGGAGCGGAAGAAGAAGUGGAAUCAGAAUCAACACUAGCGAAAGGAGAAAUCUGAAACGAGCCAUCGGUUGGCUGGGGUUUAGGGAUUCAACAGCAGUUUUGGGUAAUUGGCACAAGCUGUUUGAUAAUAUGCGCAAGAGAAACAGAUAGGAAAUAAGGAAGAUGAAGACUGGUGAGGCAUUUGACUUGACAAAUGAAAACCCAGUCUGUU
rnacentral:misc_RNA from 1 species